rnacentral:lncRNA from 1 species
CUGUGAUUGUUCGUUUUACUUAUUCCAAAUUAAUCUAAUGGGAAUAAAUCCGUGUAGGGGGAUUUAAACAUGGGGAAUGAUUAGUUGCUUAAGCGUUCAUAUUAGGGUCAGACAAUCAAUUACCUCCUGAAUGUAUCGUCUCUAUUUCCAAUAUCUGAACACACAAGGAAACUAUAAUCUCCUCCUUCACUUUAUGAGUCUCUUCCUUAUAGCAAUUCAGUCACACCAAUAACUGCUAUUUCCACCAAUAUAUUCACCCUCAUAAUCUCCAACUAUAAUACUUCGCCCUCACAGCUUUCAACAUACAAUUACCCUCAUUCCAAUCAUUGGAAUUCUUCACACAAAACUGCCAUUCACAUUACAGUGUUUCACACAAACACAGACUCAUUCUCUUUGCUGAACUACAAUCAGAUUUCAGCAUUCAAUCUUUCUUCUUCUCAAAUAAUACCAAUCACAUUUCCAUUCCAUAAUUCACUUCAUAAUAUUCAGAAACUCUCAAUCCUCUUAUUCAAAGAAAAUAACAAACAAAACAAAAGAGGUAGCACCAAGCUUAU